rnacentral:lncRNA from 1 species
ACUCCACCCAACUUUAAAUGUCCCCAUAGUUUUAAUGUUCAAAACACUGUUCUAAAGUCAAAGUCUUUAAGACUCAAGGUGAGUCCCUGUGAAAUGAAAAAAAAAUACGUUCAGUGCUUCCAACCUAUACUGGUCAGGGUAAACAUGUCCUUUCAAAAGGAGAAACAUGAAGCUACAUAUGGAGGAAAUGGGGUCCAGAGUGAGGCUGGCACUGUCAGGACACAUGUCAGACCCUUCACUUCCGUCUCUUCAUCUAGGGUUCAUGGUGGUAUCAUCUGGGCUUCAUCUCAAAUGUCAUCAUUAGAACUUCACCUCAAAGGCUUCAAAUGAAAGGCACAAGCCUCCAUGUAGGGAACCUGACCUUCUAUUCCUGGUCCUCAGCAGCUUCCUUAACCUUUCCAUACACCUCCUCCCCUAUUCACUCUUCAUGGCCGUGCCUGAAAAACCAGUGCCGGCUGGGUAAUGCCAACUCCAGUGUAGCUUGUCCCCUUAGACCUGAGCUGGAGUGACCUCUGAGUGUCUGACUAGCUGACCUGGGAAAAUAGUUUUCUAGAAGGCCCUACUGGAAUGGGACAUCUAAGAGACUCUUAUUA